UAGUUCAGCACUAAGUCACUUUGUCUUUAUGGCAAAUGUGAGAUGCAGUGUAUGGAACAUCUUAAAUCUAGUAUGAGAAAUUAACGAUUUAAGUCCUUCUUAAAUGAGGCCAUUUACCCAUAGAGGGUGCCAGGCCCGUAUAACGUUAAUGAUUACUAGAAGAUGUUUCCAAAGAGUCGUGUUGCUUGAUAGUGCAGCACUAAGUGGGUGGUAAACUCCAUCUAAAACUAAAUAUAACCAUGAGACCGAUAGUAAACAAGUACCGUGAGGGAAAGUUGAAAAGAACUCUGAAUAGAGAGUUAAAUAGUACGUGAAACUGCUUAGAGGUUAAGCCCGAUGAACCUGAAUAUCCAUUAUGGAAAAUUCAUCAUUAUGAUUGUAAUAUUUAAUCAAUAUUAAAAUAAUAGUGUGCAUUUUUUCCAUAUAAGGACAUUGUAAUCUAUUAACAUGCUAUUUAUCAAAAGAUCAUUUGCUUAUGUUUAUUCCAAUUAGUUUGCUUGCAAGUUAACACAGAAUAAAUGCUUAUGAUUUGAUAAAGUGUUGAUAGAUUUUAUUAUAUAUAGUGCUUAAAUUCUUUGAAUUUUAUAAUGCCAUUGCGAUCAUUGAUUUCAGUGUUUAUUAUAUGCGCUUAUAUGAUUAACAAUGCG
rnacentral:rRNA from 1 species